CGCUGUUACCGAUUAAAUCCCGCUCCUUAUCCCCAUCCCCACCCCGCUUUUACCAAGUCCCUUAUUGAAAUAACUAUAUUCUUUCUUCUGUAGAUGUGAAAGCUGAUCAAGGAGACUUACAUGUCGAUGAGCCCAGUAUUGCUGAAGACUCUUCAUCUCCCAUUAAAAUAACUAACACAAUCUAAAGGGUGCUACCCCAAAGAACGGUCCCUUAUAGUCUCUGCCCUCCUCUGUCCUCUCACUGGCUAUGAAUCAUCCAAUACAUCAGAAUGUUGCCAUGACUGGUGAACUGUCACUCACUGGAAAGAGAGUCAUUGGCUCAGAUCAUUGAGGCUGGUAAAGGAGUUAUAGAUGAUCCUAAAAGCCCCCAGGCAACAUGUUGCCUAGUGUAUGGGGCCUUUACACAUCUUGCUGAUUUUGGAGCUGCACUGACCAGUGGAGAAUCACA